rnacentral:rRNA from 1 species
UACGUAGGGGGCAAGCGUUGUCCGGAUUUAUUGGGCGUAAAGAGCGUGUAGGCGGCCAGGUAGGUCUGCUGUGAAAACUCGAGGCUCAACCUCGAGAUGUCGGCGGAAACCAUCUGGCUAGAGUCCGGAAGAGGAAAGUGGAAUUCCCGGUGUAGCGGUGAAAUGCGCAGAUAUCAGGAGGAACACCAGUGGCGAAGGCGGCUUCCUGGACACCAACUGACGCUGAGACGCGAAAGCGUGGGGAGCAAACAGG